UCGCGUUUUCAUCAUCGUGCCAUCGCGUUUUCACCAUCGUACCAUCGCGCUUUCACCAUCGUACCAUCGCGUUUUCACCAUCGUACUAUCGCGUUUUCAUCAUCGUGCCAUCGCGUUUUCACCAUCGUACCAUCGCGUUUUCACCAUCGUUCCAUCGCGUUUUCACCAUCGUGCCAUCGCGUUUCCACCAUCGUACCAUCGAAUUUUCACCAUCGUGCAUCGCGGUAACAGACUGAAUUAAAAAUCACUACUGUCAAAACGGAACACCGUACAGGUCAGACUGCAUGGUGGUGCAGGCUAGCUGAGCUCUAUAUUGGAAACAACAGUUAAAAGGUAAAACUGACAACUUACCACUUGGACACAUAUAAAUGAAAAUCAAUGGCAUACUAAAUACUGUAGACAUGUCAUAAGGGGCGUAGCUUAAACUAAACCCAUAAAUAGGCUAAAUAACAGUUGUUCGGUGCGUUGAUUGGUCAAUAUCCCAAGUUCCCACUUCAAAACACAGGUGUGCGGCGGGUAACCAGGUCAGAAAUUAAGUACACCCACCCCAGACCUCUAGAUACACCGCAUUAUUUUUAUGUAAAAUGCGUUUUAUUUUAUGAUUACAUUUGGUUUAAUAUCCUUCAUUUCUAAAUUCUAAAAAUGAUACAUAUACAUGUAGUAUAAGUAAUAGAAAGAGCAUCGAAACACGAGGCUAUCUAAUUUGUACGAGGGGGCGUAGCCCCCGAGUAUUAAUCAGAUUGCCGAGUGUUUUGAUGUUCUUUCAGUCAAACAUAAAAACACGUUCCCUGUUUCCCCGAGAAAAAAGUAACCAAUGAACGUGCGUCUGAAUAUGAUAUUUAUGUCGCUUCCGUCACAAUAAGUAAACCCCAGCAAAAAUGAACCAAUCAAUGGGCGGGUAACUAAUAUUAACGCACUGUGCAUGUAUAUGUAUACGAUUUAACUCUGACACAUUUUCAACAGAAAGGUCCCCAAACUAUGAUACAAUCAUUUAUGUAUUAUCUGUUAAUUAACUGAUUUGAUAAUUAUUCAUUCAUUCAUUCAUUCAUUCAUUCAUAAAUUAUGCAUGUUGUUUUGAUUUAUGGUGCAAGAGAGGUAAUAACUUGCUAUUUUAUAUAUAACAUAUUUCAUUGAAUUGAUAUUGAAAGUAGCACAUGAGCUGGGGUGUAGAAUGUUUACACGCGUGGUCAGCUUAUGCGGUUAUAUCACCGGGCGUAAAAUCUACAAAACUUAUAUGCAUCAGCCGUACGAGAACAAAUAAAUGUAAUUAAAAUUAAAAUUGUUUUUAAAAUGGCAUACAAUUAUAUUAAGCAAACAUUCCUUUAUAGAAAGACAGCAUGUACACAUGAAGUAGAACAUAUAUAUGUAAUCAAUAAAUGCAAACAGGACUUUAAUGCGCAUGUAUGCGACACAUUUGUCUAGCUAUAACGGUCAGAAUAUCAUAAAAUAAUUUCCCUUGAUCAAUGCAAGAACAAAAUUACUUUAAUAAUAAAUUCAUGUUAUAUGUAUUAUGAAUUUAGUAAAUGGAUGCUGGAAAGUAACUUUGUUCAUGAUUAUGCAAGUGGAAAUUAUGAUGAUUUGACCAGUAUUGGCAAGACAAAUGUGCCGAACGUAUGUGUUUUAAAGUGAAUCUUCAGUCGUGUUACCUUUAUAGCUGAGUGUCCUUGUAAGAAAUUUUCUUAUGUGUUUAAUGUAAUUGUUUUCAUUUCACAGUCAUUUGUUAAUUAAUACAAUGUAACAAAAAUAUAAUGUACUAUCAUAAUAUUAAUGCUAUAAAUGUGCCGUUAUGCAAUGUCCAACAAUUCGAAAACUAUAUAUUCUAUUAAUUGAACGAGGGAGGUCUGUAAAUAGGUAUAAAUACGAAAUAAAUAUGAAUUGAAUUGUAUAAAUACGUGAGUGACUUGCUAAUAGUCCAAGCUAGGUCCGAUAAUGUACAUACGAGUUUUAGUAGGAACAAAAAUAGGCCUAUGUGACAGAUAUACCAUGCAUAGAUAAUCAUGCAAUCACAGUAAGUUAACGCAAAAUAUUCUAUUAAAAAGAGCAAAAUUUGACUAUCAAGACAGUACGACAAACUUUAUCUAUAGUCUGUUAUGUAUAGUUAAAAGUACAAAACAUGAGUUACAUCCCCUCAAAUAAAGACAUGAAAAACGUUUAGGACAUUGAAUAAAGAAACGAAAAUAUUCCUUAUUGUAGUUUUAUUUUAUUUAUUCUUAUUUUCGUUUAUAAUAGAUACGCUGUGCACACUUAAAACAGGGGAAGUCACUACCUCACAGGUGACUACCUACACACAAUACCACAAAUAUCAAGUAUUUUAACUUAAAAUAGCGUUUAAAUGCUCGGAGUUUUGUGAAAUGUUUCCUGCGUGAUUUUGGAACCUUCUUUGUUUCCCGGCAAAAUGCCAGAUUCUGGUCUUUACGUGAUCGUUGUUGGACACAACCUGGAAGCAAAAUGCGAUGUUGCCAAUGCUCUAGUAUGUCAGGAGAAAAUAUUUCAAACGUUUUCAUGUCGGAAGAAAAUUUUUGUAAGGUCUCGAAAAACCGUCAAAGGAAAGAAUCUUUAUAUAAUGACAACGCCAGAUAUUGAAACACCAGCGUUGGAACAUUUUGAGAAAGAGCUGAAAUCCCCGUUCAAGUUUAAAACGAGGGUCUUUUUAUAUGUACAAGAUAAUUGAUUGUAUAGACAGUGAUGAUGCUGGGUUUGAUUGAAACUUUGCAAACUCUGUUUACAGAGAAAGUUGUGUGUGUUAAGUAUAACACGAAACUUCC